GACGAACGCUGGCGGCGUGCUUAACACAUGCAAGUCGAACGGUAAGGCCCUUCGGGGUACACGAGUGGCGAACGGGUGAGUAACACGUGGGUGAUCUGCCCUGCACUUCGGGAUAAGCCUGGGAAACUGGGUCUAAUACCGGAUAGGACCACUGCCUGCAUGGGCGGUGGUGGAAAGCUUUUGCGGUGUGGGAUGGCCCGCGGCCUAUCAGCUUGUUGGUGGGGUGAUGGCCUACCAAGGCGACGACGGGUAGCCGGCCUGAGAGGGUGACCGGCCACACUGGGACUGAGAUACGGCCCAGACUCCUACGGGAGGCAGCAGUGGGGAAUAUUGCACAAUGGGCGCAAGCCUGAUGCAGCGACGCCGCGUGAGGGAUGACGGUCUUCGGGUUGUAAACCUCUUUCAGCACCGACGAAGCGCAAGUGACGGUAGGUGCAGAAGAAGGACCGGCCAACUACGUGCCAGCCGCCGCCGUAA
rnacentral:rRNA from 1 species